rnacentral:lncRNA from 1 species
AUUGCAUCCAAACUCCUUUGCAAGUUUCCAGAUAAAACGGAUUUCCCUCCAUCCUUUCCAGUCGGAAUUCAGUUUACAGGUGUGGUGUUCGCAUCGAGGAUACUGGCAGGACCAGCAGCUCCAGCGCCUCGUCCCCAGUGCUGGCAACAAGCCACCCGGUCCCAAAGGUGGGUUUCUUCAUCAGUAGCCUUCCCUGGGAAACAGGGCGUUGUGGAUGAUGGAUAG